rnacentral:rRNA from 1 species
GACAGAGGGUGCGAACGUUGUUCGGAAUUACUGGGCGUAAAGCGCAUGUAGGCGGCGCAGCAAGUCAGGGGUGAAAUCCCGGGGCUCAACCCCGGAACUGCCCUUGAAACUGCAGUGCUAGAAUCUUGGAGAGGCGAGUGGAAUUCCGAGUGUAGAGGUGAAAUUCGUAGAUAUUCGGAAGAACACCAGUGGCGAAGGCGACUCGCUGGACAAGUAUUGACGCUGAGGUGCGAAAGCGUGGGGAGCAAACAGG